rnacentral:rRNA from 1 species
CCGGCGAUUUCCGAAUGGGGAAACCCAGUGUGUUUCGACACACUAUCAUUAACUGAAUCCAUAGGUUAAUGAGGCGAACCGGGGGAACUGAAACAUCUAAGUACCCCGAGGAAAAGAAAUCAACCGAGAUUCCCCCAGUAGCGGCGAGCGAACGGGGAGGAGCCCAGAGCCUGAAUCAGUGUGUGUGUUAGUGGAAGCGUCUGGAAAGGCGCGCGAUACAGGGUGACAGCCCCGUACACAAAAAUGCACAUACUGUGAGCUCGAUGAGUAGGGCGGGACACGUGGUAUCCUGUCUGAAUAUGGGGGGACCAUCCUCCAAGGCUAAAUACUCCUGACUGACCGAUAGUGAACCAGUACCGUGAGGGAAAGGCGAAAAGAACCCCGGCGAGGGGAGUGAAAAAGAACCUGAAACCGUGUACGUACAAGCAGUGGGAGCCUCUUUUAUGGGGUGACUGCGUACCUUUUGUAUAAUGGGUCAGCGACUUAUAUUCUGUAGCAAGGUUAACCGAAUAGGGGAGCCGAAGGGAAACCGAGUCUUAACUGGGCGUUAAGUUGCAGGGUAUAGACCCGAAACCCGGUGAUCUAGCCAUGGGCAGGUUGAAGGUUGGGUAACACUAACUGGAGGACCGAACCGACUAAUGUUGAAAAAUUAGCGGAUGACUUGUGGCUGGGGGUGAAAGGCCAAUCAAACCGGGAGAUAGCUGGUUCUCCCCGAAAGCUAUUUAGGUAGCGCCUCGUGAAUUCAUCUCCGGGGGUAGAGCACUGUUUCGGCAAGGGGGUCAUCCCGACUUACCAACCCGAUGCAAACUGCGAAUACCGGAGAAUGUUAUCACGGGAGACACACGGCGGGUGCUAACGUCCGUCGUGAAGAGGGAAACAACCCAGACCGCCAGCUAAGGUCCCAAAGUCAUGGUUAAGUGGGAAACGAUGUGGGAAGGCCCAGACAGCCAGGAUGUUGGCUUAGAAGCAGCCAUCAUUUAAAGAAAGCGUAAUAGCUCACUGGUCGAGUCGGCCUGCGCGGAAGAUGUAACGGGGC